AGAUUCAGGCAGGGGAAAAGGGGUCGCGGGGCUCAGCGGCACGGAGCCGACCCCCCCCCCCCCCUCCCCAGCCACCCCCCUCCCAAAUCUUCUCCGCGGCCGGUGGAGCGGGUGGCUCGUUGGCUCGUUGUUGGUAUUUGUAUAAAGUCCUCCGUGGAUGUGCAAAUAGCCGGGAGAGGAGGAGGAGGAGGAGGAGAGGCUGGGGUUACUUUGGUCUUUGUGCGGGAUCCGUUCUCCUGCUCGCUCCGCGCCGGCCGCUCCUGGCUCUGGGUGCGGGAUCCGAGGGGCUGCAGCCCGGGGGCAGCUCCGGGAGCCGGGGGGACGGAGCCCAGCUCGGGAACAAUGUCAGGCAGCGGGGCUGCCAGAGCACGCCUCGCCUCCGCUUAAUCCAGCCGCUGCGUAAAAUCCGUCUUGCUUUCAGCGCUCGUUUCCCCCCCUCUUAGCAAUAAAGCAGCGAGCCGCCAACCCGAGGCAGAGAACUCCUCUCGCAUACUUUCCCUUCGGCUCCCGGCGAGCGAAUAGUUUCAAGUACAGUUUCAAGAAAAGCACGGAAAAAAAAUAAAAUAAUAAUAAUAAAAAAAAUAAUAAAGAACCACCAACCAACCCUUCAAACGGCGAUCACGAACGGCGAGUUGCACUUACAAACUUCCAGCAUUUUGCCCCCGGCACGCUCCGGCCACUUUUCCUUUGUGUUUUUUUUUGUAUAUUCCAUCCCCGGCUGAGAGGGGGGGGGGGUGUUGGGUUUGGGGGUGGGUGCCGCCCGCUCGCUGUCUCUCUCCGCUCGCCUCCGGCUGCCGGAGCUGCCGGCGCUGCCCGUGGCCCGCGGUGCGUGCGGGGCCGCGGUGCGGGGCGCUGCGGGGGCGGGGGGCGGGUGGCACCGAGCGGCCGGGCCGAGCGCCGGAGCCUCCCAGCGGCCGCGCAGGGGAGGGAGGCAGGCGGGGAAGGAGAGGGAAAUGUCGCCCCGCCGACCUCAGCCCGAGACCGCUUCCAGGGCGAGAGACGGCUUGGUUGCAGGGCUGCGAGUCCCCAGCCGCGCAAUACACAGCAAAGACUGCCCCUGGUGUUUCUGAGAAGGAAAUACCCGAAACCCAUCCUUCAGCUUCACAACUUUUGUCCAGGAGACGCUGCCGAAUGCAACCAGCUCCUGGAAACAGGUUUCAUUUUUGGGACCGGCUACUUGUCGGUUUUCUUAAAAGCAGACGGUUCUGAACAUGAUCCUAACGUCACUUGUGAUCGUGUCAUAUGUGUGCUCAUAAAACCACACGAGAUGAGACAUUAACAUAAUGGGUCCUGAAUAAUUCAUUACUUUUAUCCCCUAUGCCAACAUCUGUGACCUCUUGAAAUGAUACUGUAGGCUUAUGUGAGCUGUCAUCCUUGAGUAUUUUUCCGUGUGAAUUUGCUCCUGCUGCUGCAGCUCUGAGUUUCCCAAGCCAGCAGCCCCCACUGGGUGAGCAAACCUUUCCUGCUGCUGGCUUCGCGGCCGGGACUUCUCACCGUGGAAGUCCCAUUGUGCUGAUAACUUACCAAAAAUUGAAGAAAAUGACUAUGCUGAACCUCUGUCGCCUAAAAACGUGAGUCCACGCCUAAAUCUAGGCACACACCUCGUUCAUCUCUGUUUAGAAAUCACGUAUCAAAGUCCUUCAAAGUUGUAUUAACUCCACCAAAAUGGCAUGUGCUUAGUAACUGUCCCUGUGGAAGACUAACUAGGGCUAUACAUUUUCAGCCAUUCCCAUUAUUUGUUUUUCAGAGGGUUCUUAGCCAUUUUGAAUGACUACUGCUAUAAAUAAUGUGAUAAAUGUACUUGCAGCUGGGCACGCUGUUAGGAUGCACCAUGCAGCUCGCCUGCUCAAUUGCUAAGCUUUGGAGCAGAAUCUGACUGCACCUGGGUCACUUUUUGUGUCCUCAAAGUCUGGGCACAAGGCUCUGUGUAAAUUGUAAAAUAAGCCAUCCUGAACACACACACACACACCUUUUUGAAUUAAGAAUACAAUUUGCAGAAAAAUGUAAAGAAACUGUGUCUAUAUGUUAAUAAAUAACAGGGAAAACAAACAAACAAAAUAAA